UCCGCCUCUCGUCCGCCUCGGGGAGGCGGGGCCCCUCAGCGUUCUCUCACUGGCUUAAGCCCUCGAGCGACGGGCGGAGUAGCCAAUCAACGAUUGUCUACUCCCUCCUCCUGUCCAAUAGUGGCAUCUGGGCGAUUGAAGGGUCGAGAGGCUGAGGCCUUGGCUGAGCCCCGGUCUUCGAGGGGCGGUUCCCUUACCCGCCCGCGCCCACCCCAGGUAGGGACUCUUGAGGCCACCGUCUUGUCCAAGGUGCUGUGACACCUGGUAAAUGCCCCUGACUCCCAAUUGCAGAAAAGAAAAACCGAGGCCCAAGAGAUGUUUUAUGCCCUCACACAAAUGGGGUUCAAAAUAAUACAAAAGAAUAAACAGGGGUCAAGAAGGACCCCUGUCCCAUUCCCGAGGCGUAAGACCCCCACUGAGGGAGGGGCUAGCAAAGACUCCACCCCUCCCCCGUUUCUGAGGUUUGAAAAGAAAGAAGUAGACGUCAAGAGAGCCACCUCUCCCCACCAUUCCCAGAAAAGGAGGAAGGGGCUGACGGACUCUCUGGGAACCCCUCCCCUCCCUGCGCCCCGUCAUCAAGAGGAAAAUUCGAAGAAAAGGUUUAGCAGGGACAGAGAAGCGACCUGUCCUGGAAACCCCUUAAAGCCUGCGGGUAACAAGUUGGCUCCCUCCUCCCCCACUCGGACUAUAAAAGUAUCACGAAUCCACUGCGGAGAGAUUGGGAAAAUUCAGAAAAACAAAAAAGAAAAUAAAAAGAAAUCCACCUCCCAUUCUCCCUGCCCUCCGCGCCCACGCGGUAGUCCGUGCUCUGUGGGGGGUUCCAGGGCAGCUCCUCCAAGCCCUUGCCUGCGGCCUCGUUGGAGGGGAGGAGGUUUUAGGCUACUCAGCUCCCUGAUCGCCCAAAGGCACGCUUCCUACAUGGGUGGUUCUCUCGGAAAUACCUCCUUCCUUUUUUUCCCCAGGAAGAGAAAAGUGAGCCACGAGAAUGUGCAAAAGCUUCUGUCACUGACGUAG
rnacentral:lncRNA from 1 species